UACAGAGGUCCCAAGCGUUGUUCGGAUUCAUUGGGCGUAAAGGGUGCGUAGGCGGCGCGGUAAGUCGGGUGUGAAAUCUCGGAGCUUAACUCCGAAACUGCAUUCGAUACUGCCGUGCUUGAGGACUGGAGAGGAGACUGGAAUUUACGGUGUAGCUGGUGAAAUGCGUAGAUAUCGUAAGGAAGACCAGUGGCGAAGGCGGGGUCUCUGGACAGUUCCUGACGCUGAGGCACGAAGGCCAGGGGAGCAAACGGG
rnacentral:rRNA from 1 species